GAUGAACGCUGACAGAAUGCUUAACACAUGCAAGUCUACUUGAACUUCGGUUUGGGUGGCGGACGGGUGAGUAACGCGUAAAGAACUUGCCUCACAGAUAGGGACAACAUUUGGAAACGAAUGCUAAUACCUGAUAUUAUGAUUUUAGGGCAUCCUAGAAUUAUGAAAGCUAUAUGCACUGUGAGAGAGCUUUGCGUCCCAUUAGCUAGUUGGAGAGGUAACGGCUCACCAAGGCGAUGAUGGGUAGCCGGCCUGAGAGGGUGAUCGGCCACAAGGGGACUGAGACACGGCCCUUACUCCUACGGGAGGCAGCAGUGGGGAAUAUUGGACAAUGGACCAAGAGUCUGAUCCAGCAAUUCUGUGUGCAGGAUGAAGUUUUUCGGAAUGUAAAGUGCUUUCAGUUGGGAAGAAAAAAAUGACGGUACCAACAGAAGAAGUGACGGCUAAAUACGUG
rnacentral:rRNA from 1 species